UGCAGUCGAGCGGACAGAAGGGAGCUUGCUCCCGGAUGUUAGCGGCGGACGGGUGAGUAACACGUGGGUAACCUGCCUGUAAGACUGGGAUAACUCCGGGAAACCGGAGCUAAUACCGGAUAGUUCCUUGAACCGCAUGGUUCAAGGAUGAAAGACGGUUUCGGCUGUCACUUACAGAUGGACCCGCGGCGCAUUAGCUAGUUGGUGGGGUAAUGGCUCACCAAGGCGACGAUGCGUAGCCGACCUGAGAGGGUGAUCGGCCACACUGGGACUGAGACACGGCCCAGACUCCUACGGGAGGCAGCAGUAGGGAAUCUUCCGCAAUGGACGAAAGUCUGACGGAGCAACGCCGCGUGAGUGAUGAAGGUUUUCGGAUCGUAAAGCUCUGUUGUUAGGGAAGAACAAGUGCGAGAGUAACUGCUCGCACCUUGACGGUACCUAACCAGAAAGCCACGGCUAACUACGUGCCAGCAGCCGCGGUAAUACGUAGGUGGCAAGCGUUGUCCGGAAUUAUUGGGCGUAAAGGGCUCGCAGGCGGUUUCUUAAGUCUGAUGUGAAAGCCCCCGGCUCAACCGGGGAGGGUCAUUGGAAACUGGGAAACUUGAGUGCAGAAGAGGAGAGUGGAAUUCCACGUGUAGCGGUGAAAUGCGUAGAGAUGUGGAGGAACACCAGUGGCGAAGGCGACUCUCUGGUCUGUAACUGACGCUGAGGAGCGAAAGCGUGGGGAGCGAACAGGAUUAGAUACCCUGGUAGUCCACGCCGUAAACGAUGAGUGCUAAGUGUUAGGGGGUUUCCGCCCCUUUAGUGCUGCAGCUAACGCAUUAAGCACUCCGCCUGGGGAGUACGGUCGCAAGACUGAAACUCAAAG
rnacentral:rRNA from 1 species